rnacentral:lncRNA from 1 species
AUUGCUUAAAUUAUUUUGCAUAGCAUUCAUGGGUAAUUCUUUAUUAAAUAAUAUAAACUUAUAUAAUAAUAAUAAUAAUUAAUGACUAUUAAAAUUAAAUGCAGUCUUUGUUUUUUUUGUUUUUUUACAAAAUACUUUUAGGUUAAUUUUUAAACAAAUUCUAUAUGAAAUGAUGGUGACAUUUACAUUUACAACCAUACUGUACUGAUGAGUUCAUUUCAUCACUGCUCAGUACUACUAUUACAAUAUGAUGUACUAUAAUGAGUGAGUAAUAGUAAGCAGGAGUUGCCAGGGCGUGUCUUGUCUGAUCUGAGUUAAUAUUUGUCACAUGUGCUUGUAGUUCAGUGGGGCUUGGAGCUGACAGGAGGCCUCAGCACACUCCCAAAAUAUAAUAAUAAUAAUAAUUAAUGACUAUUAAAAUUAAAUGCAGUCUUUGUUUUUUUGUUUUUUUUUACAAAAUACUUUUAGGUUAAUUUUUAAACAAAUUCUAUAUGAAAUGAUGGUGACAUUUACAUUUACAACCAUACUGUACUGAUGAGUUCAUUUCAUCACUGCUCAGUACUACUAUUACAAUAUGAUGUACUAUAAUGAGUGAGUAAUAGUAAGCAGGAGUUGCCAGGGCGUGUCUUGUCUGAUCUGAGUUAAUAUUUGUCACAUGUGCUUGUAGUUCAGUGGGGCUUGGAGCUGACAGGAGGCCUCAGCACACUCCCAAAGGGGAUGCAAGAUGGCUCAAAAUAAUUGAAAAUAAGACAAAACAAGGUUAAAAAAUCACCAAGAACAGCUAAAAUAGCAAGACAUAUACUAAAACAAUUUAUCUUAUUUAAAUUUGUUCCUGUAACAACUGCCAUUUUUACUUAAAAACCAAGUUCUCAAUAUCUCAGAGUUCAGAGUUAUGAUUUAUAGACCUGGAAAGUAAAGGAAUUAAUAAUUUCUUAAGAUAUUCAAUUCUUUUUAUAUAAUGAAUCCAUAUCAAGCCAAAUCAUAUCAAAUUUUAUUUCAUGGUUAGAUAUUGCUAUUUAAUAAGAGUGCGCGCGGCUCUGGGGUUACCGCAGCCUCACAGCUCUCUGCGCGCUUCCGCUCUCAUGUCUCCGUCGCGGUCUCUUUGCCCUACUGGCCUGUAUGCACAUCUGGUGUGUGAUGCCCUGUCUCCAGGUGUUUCACAGCUGGCCUGUGUGAGGUCACUGUGGAUGAGUGUGGUUAACAUCUUCAUCACUCCGCUCUGCACAUCUGUGGUUCGCUGUUGCAGUGGCAUACACGUGGUGUUCUCCAAAGAAUGACGAAACACAAGGAGAAAUCGGAGGAAGCUUGUCAAACUGCUUUUCUCUCAGUUACAAAACAUGAAUCAAUGGAAUACCUGAAUGGAUUUUUUGCUGUUUGAAGCUGUGUUGAAAUAACAAUGAGACAUUCAAAGAAGAGGAUUACAUGUUAUUAAACUGAUUUUACAUGUUAUUAAAUAGAUAUUUAAUCAUUUGUAACAAAUUCUGCAUGGGUUUGUCAUAUGUAGAAACUACAAUAGGCCUAUAGUCUAACCUUUUUUCAUACAAUCUGUUAAUAUUUAUUUCUCUCUCUGAUGUUUGUCUGAUGUCGGAUGUCUGUUUUGAUGCUUGCCACAUCAUAUAUGUAGGCUAUUUUAUUAAAACAACCACUUAGCAUGCAUUUUUAACAUACAAGCUCUCAUUUACUCCAGUCUUCAGUGUCACACGAUGCCUCAGAAAUCACUCUAAUAUGCUGAUUUGGUACUCAAGAAACAUUUCUUAAAUAUUAUUACUUGUGCUGCUUAAUAUUUUUGUGGAUUCUGACUAUUUUUUUUCAUGAUUCUUUAAUAGAAAGUUGUUGUUUAUUAUUUAAAAGUAAUUUCUCAGUAACUAUAAAGCUU